rnacentral:rRNA from 1 species
AAAGGUAAGCUACUAAGAGCGAAUGGUGGAUGCCUUGACUGGUAGAGGCGAUGAAGGACGUACUAGACUGCGAUAAGCUAGGUGGAGCUGUCAAGAAGCUUUGAUGCCUAGAUUUCCGAAUGGGGCAACCCAGUAUAUAGAGAUAUAUACUACCAUAAUGGAGCGAACGAGGGGAAUUGAAACAUCUUAGUACCCUCAGGAAAAGAAAUCAAACGAGAUUGCGUCAGUAGCGGCGAGCGAAAGCGUAAGAGGGCAAACCCAGUGCUUGCACUGGGGG